UACGAAGGGGGCUAGCGUUGCUCGGAAUUAUUGGGCGUAAAGAGCUCGUAGGCGGUCUGUUGCGUCGGCUGUGAAAACCCGGGGCUCAACCCCGGGCCUGCAGCCGAUACGGGCAGACUAGAGUUCGGCAGGGGAGACUGGAAUUCCUGGUGUAGCGGUGAAAUGCGCAGAUAUCAGGAGGAACACCGGUGGCGAAGGCGGGUCUCUGGGCCGAUACUGACGCUGAGGAGCGAAAGCGUGGGGAGCGAACAGG
rnacentral:rRNA from 1 species